GUUCUUAUUAAAACAGAGAAUGGCUUUUAUAAACUUGGUACUAGAACUGAUAUUUUGAAACAAUUGUAUGCCAAAUCGGAAUUGAGUGUUUGCAAAGAGAGAUUUUUAACGAAAGAAGAUGUCCCUGCUGUAGAAAUACCUUUACGUCAAACAGCAAUCAAACAAUCCCUUGAUACUGGGCAGGGUUUCCGAAAAUGUGACUGCAAAUCGAAAAUGUACCACAAAUAG